rnacentral:rRNA from 1 species
AUUGGUAGCAAUACCAUGAGAGCGGCGGACGGGUGAGUAACGCGUACACGACCUACCUUUGACUGGGGGAUAGCCCUGGGAAACUGGGAUUAAUACCGCAUAUAAUUCUGAAUAAUAAAGGUUUGGAAUGAAAGUUCAGGCGGUCAGAGAUGGGUGUGCGUCUGAUUAGCUAGUUGGUAAGGUAACGGCUUACCAAGGCGAUGAUCAGUAGGGGGCGUGAGAGCGUGAUCCCCCACACGGGUACUGAGACGCGGACCCGACUCCUACGGGAGGCAGCAGUAAGGAAUAUUGGACAAUGGCCGCAAGGCUGAUCCAGCCAUCCAGCGUGCAGGAAGAAGGCCCUACGGGUUGUAAACUGCUUUUGUCAGGGAAUAAACCUGUGGAUUUACUCCGCAGCUGAAGGUACCUGAAGAAUAAGCACCGGCUAACUCCGUGCCAGCAGCCGCGGUAAUACGGAGGGUGCGAGCGUUAUCCGGAAUUACUGGGUUUAAAGGGUGCGUAGGCGGCCAUGUAAGUCAGGAGUGAAAGUUUGCGGCUCAACCGUAAAAUUGCUUUUGAUACUGCAUGGCUGGAAUCAGGAUGAGGUCAGCGGAAUGUGGCAUGUAGCGGUGAAAUGCAUAGAUAUGCCAUAGAACACCAAUUGCGAAGGCAGCUGGCUAGACCUGUAUUGACGCUGAGGCACGAAAGCGUGGGGAGCGAACAGGAUUAGAUACCCUGGUAGUCCACGCCCUAAACGAUGCUUACUCGACGUAUGGCACUAGUUGUUGUGCGUCCAAGGGAAACCGUUAAGUAAGCCACCU